GGAUAUGAGUGCUACCUGACCGCAACACUUGCCACCCCAUUGAUCACCAGGGUUGGUUUGGCUGACCUGGCUGGCUGGCUGGGGAGUAUCCCCUUCCUCUAUCAUCACCAAUGUGCAUUCCUGAAAAACAGCAUGUUCAGUCACAGAGGAGUUAAGUGUGGUGAGUCGCCACCCUCCCCUGCUAAAAUAUCCAAGCAGUCUCUCAAACUUGUAAGAGUAGGGGUUAGAGUUUUUGUUUUCAGCACUUGAUGUCCUUGAAAUUCUUAAAUUAACAGUGUGU
rnacentral:snRNA from 1 species